rnacentral:rRNA from 1 species
AAGUCGAGCGGCGGGGGGGAGAAAUUCCUCCUGGAGCGGCGGACUGGUGAGUAACGCGUAGGCGACCUGCCCGUUGGUCGGGGACAGCCGCUAGAAAUAGCGGGUAAUACCGGAUGAGGUCGCGCGGGUGGAGCCGCGCGAAGAAAGGAGCCAAGGCUCCGCCAAUGGAUGGGCCUGCGUCCGAUUAGCUUGUUGGCGGGGUAAGAGCCCACCAAGGCGAUGAUAGGUAGCCGGCCUGAGAGGGUGGACGGCCACAUUGGGACUGAGAUACGGCCCAAACUCCUACGGGAGGCAGCAGCUAAGAAUAUUCCGCAAUGGACGAAAGUCUGACGGAGCGACGCCGCGUGGACGAGGGAGGCCGAAAGGUUGUAAAGUUCUUUUCCGGUCGAGGAAUAAGCGGGGGAGGGAAUGCCCCCGCGAUGACAGUAGGCUGGGAAUAAGCCCCGGCUAAUUACGUGCCAGCAGCCGCGGUAACACGUAAGGGGCGAGCGUUGUUCGGAAUUAUUGGGCGUAAAGGGCGCGUAGGCGGCUGGGCAAGUCGGGUGUGAAAGGCGGAGGCUCAACCUUCGGACAGCACCGGAAACUGCCCGGCUAGAGUCAGUGGGGUGAGGCUGGAAUUCCGAGUGUAGGGGUGAAAUCUGUAGAUAUUCGGAAGAACACCGGUGCGAAAGCGAGCC